AAUAAACCAUAGUCUUUAGUAGGAUUUACAUAUUAAAAAACCCCAAGUUGCUCAUAAAAUAUGUAUCUUAUAUUUCUAUGGAAGUUUUUUUCCCCAAAUAAUUAAAGGGCAUGAAACCCACACAUUUUUUUUGUAGACUUGAGACAUAAACAGAAGGUGACUUAAGAACACUUAAUUGAAACUGUUUCUGAGUCAAGUCUUUGGGACCAUGUUACAUCUAGGUCCAGCUCAGCUUCUCCCUCAUAGGAAAUCAGAGUAUUGAAGUCUUUAUGGUUUGAAACAGGGAAGACAAACUCUCUUUCUAGCACUUGCAAAGUCUCUGUGCUUAAGAGAAUAAACUGCCUGAAAAUCGUCAUCUGUACAAAAGGACCUAAAUUAGAUAGAUUUUUAGCUGUGAUUAAAAGCAAUCCAGGACUAAGGAUGUAGCUCAGUGGUGCCACGCUUGCCUGGCAAGUGCAAGGUCCUGAGUUCAGUUCCCAGUACAAUAAAAUAAAAAGCAAUCCAGGGUCUGAGAUAUCCAUAGUUGCUAUCUGAAUCAAAGGAAGAGCUCCCUGGUGUCUUAGGAGAAAACCUACCACUGUGGUCCCAUCUGAGGCCUAUUAAAAGAGUCAGCACUUCUGGAGGUAUGACAGGCUAGGGAAAUAGUGGUGGCCCACUAAGUUGCCUCAAGUUGAGGACAGCCUUCUAGUCAGAUAUGGCAAGGAUUUGGUACAGGGCUAGUCAUGGAGGAAGAGAAGGGAAGAACCAAGAAAAAUACACAAAUGGGUUUGUUCUUUCCUCUAGGUCUUCUGUUAGUAAAGAGAAAACUCUAUACAAGGUAGUCAACAAUACAGACAACAUCAUUGACAAUAAAAAUUAUGGAUUACAAAAUACAUUAAUGUGUGCAGCAGUGACAGAGCAAAAGCAGAAGAGUACUAAGGACUCUAGGGGGAAAGUCCAUUUAGUAGCAGCAUUACAGCUGGGCAUCCUGAGACUGUCCUUGGGCUACAACAGAGCCGUGCACGUAUCUGGGAAACAAGCCCUGUAGCAGCUCUGGAGAAGCCAUUCCUCAAGGAGAGCUACCUGCUGCAAUACUCUCCAAAUGAACUUCCUGUAAGGACGGGCGCCUGUUUUGAGGUAGGGCAUUCCCAAAGUACCACCAAAUGUUGGUGAGUAUCACUGAAUGGUUCUCAAGUGGUUCACAGUUUGGACUUUUAUUUGGGGAAAGAAAUGGUCACAGUGACUGACAUUAAUGGGUAAAGGCAUGGGAGGUAAAUGAAUCCUACAAUAUGAUCAUAGUCUUUUCCCGUGAAGCGCUGUCACACCCAAAAGGCCAACAGUGCUAGUCCUUGAAAGAGACAUUAAGCUGUUGUCACCUGGUAUAGUAACAAAGAUAAAAACUUCAUUUGUCAUGUAUUUUUUCUGCUACAGAACAUGUCAGAUAAUUUCAGCAUAUUUUGCCAGAUACAAAGAAUAUUUAUAUUGCACAAAAAUAUUUCAGUGAAAACCCAGGAGAGUACAAAAUCAUGUAAUAACUGGUUUUCUAUAUGUUGGUUUGGUCAAGAAGCUGUUAUAGGUAAAUGGAAAGAAAUUACCGCAUCGAAUAGUUCUGAAAAGAAAAUCUGUAACUCUGAAGAUUGCUUAUAACCUAU
rnacentral:lncRNA from 1 species